CCCUUCGUAGUGUGAACGCAGCACGCCGGGCUCUUAACCCGUGAAGUGGUGGUUCGAGUCCACCCGGAGGGACCA
rnacentral:tRNA from 1 species